AGUUUGAUCCUGGCUCAAGACGAACGCUGGCGGCGUGCUUAACACAUGCAAGUCAAACGGGGUUAAUGUUUUCGGAUAUUAACUUAUUGGCGAACGGAAUGAGUAACGCGUGAGGAACCUGCCUUUCAGUGGGGGACAACAGUUGGAAACUACUGCUAAUACCGCAUGAUACUAUUGAGGGACAUCCCUUGAUAGUCGAAGCUUUAUGUGCUGAAAGAUGGCCUCCCGUCUGAUUAGCUACUUGGAGGGGUAACGGCCCACCAAGGCGACAAUCAGUAGCCGGACUGAAAGGUUGACCGGCCACAUUGGGACUGAAAUACGGCCCAUACUCCUACGGGAGGCAGACAAGGGGAAUAUUGGGCAAUGGGAGCAAGCCUGAACCAGCAACGCCGCGUGAACGAACAACGCUAUCUGGUUAUAAACUUCUUUUAUCAGCGACGAAGAACGUGACGGUACCUGCAGAAAAAGCACCGGCUAACUACGUGCCAGCAGCCGCGGUAAUACGUAGGUUGCAAGCGUUGUCCGGAAUUACUGGGUGUAAAGGGCGUGUAGGCGGAGAUGCAAGUUGGGAGUGAAAUCCAUGGGCUCAACCCAUGAACUGCUUUCAAAACUGCAUCCCUUGAGUAUCGGAGAGGCAAGCGGAAUUCCUAGUGUAGCGGUGAAAUGCGUAGAUAUUAGGAGGAACACCAGUGGCGAAGGCGGCUUGCUGGACGACAACUGACGCUGAGGCGCGAAAGCGUGGGGAGCAAACAGGAUUAGAUACCCUGGUAGUCCACGCCGUAAACGCUGAAAACGAGGUGUGGGAGGACUGACCCCUUCCGUGCCACAGAUAACACAAUAAGUAUUCCUCCUGGAGAGUACGACCGCAAGAGUUUAAACUCAAAGGAAAGGGGGGGGGCCCGCACAAGCAGUGGAUUAUGUGGUUUAAUUGGAAGCAACGGGAAGAACCUUACCUGGUCUUGACAUCUGGAUGACCGGUCCUUGACCGUACCUUCUCUUCGGAGCAUCCAAGACAGGUGGUGCAUGGUUGUCGUCAGCUCGUGUCGUGAGAUGUUGGGUUAAGUCCCGCAACGAGCGCAACCCUUAUUUUUAGUAGCCAGCGGUUUGGCCGGGCCCUAUAGAGAGACCGCCAGGGAUAACCUGGAGGAAGGAGGGGAUGACGUCAAAUCAUCCUCCCCCUUAUGAUCGGGGCUACACACGUGCUACAAUGGUGUAAACAAAGGGACGCAGAGCCGCGAGGCCGAGCAAAUCUCAAAAAUCCCGUCUCAGUUCGGGUCGUAGUGUGCAUCUCGACUACAUGAAGCGGGAAUCACUAGUAAUCGCGAAUCAGAAUGUCGCGGUGAAUACGUUCCCGGGUCGUGCACUCAACGCCCGUCA
rnacentral:rRNA from 1 species